CCCUUAGAUGUCCUAGGCCGCACGCGCGCUACACUGACAUGUUCAACAAGCCUCCUAGUUCGACAGGAUUUGGGAAAUCUUUGAACGCAUGUCGUGAUAGGGAUAGAUCAUUGCAAUUAUUGAUCUUGAACGAGGAAUUCCUAGUAAACGCGAGUCAUCAGCUCGCAUUGAUUACGUCCCUGCCCUUUGUACACACCGCCCGUCGCACCUACCGAUUGAAUGUUUCGGUGAAGAUUCCGGAUAGGACUUUUUUGAUUUAUUUCAAUUUUGUCUUAAAAGCUAUCUAAACCUCAGCAUUUAGAGGAAGGUGAAGUCGUAACA
rnacentral:rRNA from 1 species